rnacentral:tRNA from 1 species
GGAGAGGUGUCCGAGUCUGGCUUAAGGAGCUCGCCUGGAAAGCGAGUAAGGGUUUACGCCCUUCGAGGGUUCGAAUCCCUCCCUCUCCGCCC